GAUGAAGAACGUAGCGAAAUGCGAUAAGUAAUGUGAAUUGCAGAAUUCAGUGAAUCAUCGAAUCUUUGAACGCACAUUGCGCCCGCCAGUAUUCUGGCGGGCAUGCCUGUUCGAGCGUCAUUACAACCCUCAGGCCCCCGGGCCUGGCGUUGGGGAUCGGCGGAGCCCCCCGUGGGCACACGCCGUCCCCCAAAUACAGUGGCGGUCCCGCCGCAGCUUCCAUCGCGUAGUAGCUAACACCUCGCGACUGGAGAGCGGCGCGGCCACGCCGUAAAACACCCAACUCUUCUGAAGUUGACCUCGAAUCAGGUAGGAAUACCCGCUGAAUUUAAGCAUAUCAAUAAGCGGAGGA
rnacentral:misc_RNA from 1 species